rnacentral:lncRNA from 1 species
CCAGGAUUGGAGGGAUGAGGUCCCUGGAAGGGGAUGAGAUCCUUGUCUCAGGAUGCAUUCAAGGCACAGAGGAUGGAGGAACCUCUCAUCAGGGGUGUUGGAGAGGUGGUCCCUCUAAGACGUCAUAGUGGACACUACCCAUUACUCAUUGCCAGGCCCUCUGACCCUUGAUUCCCCUCCACCAUAGGGAAGAGACGAAGCCAGAUGGUACCCUGGAGGCACUCGUGCUUUGCUUUGCACUGAAUGCAGCACCCCGUCACCAAAUCUCCUGACCCCGCCCUACCUCCCUUUUCAUGCCCACCUACCCAUCUUUGGCCUCCCCCUCAUCCCUGAUCUUCAGCGCCUCCCUGUCUCUUCGCGGUGCCCGGCGGCCUCAUUGAGCUAGAUCCCUGGCGCCUCUGUCACGCCACAGUCACCUCACCUCUCUGGGCCCCAGCGUGUGACAAGAGAGGCUGGUCAGAUUGUCACGCCUGCUCCAGCGUU